GUGGAUUAGAUACCCUGGUAGUCCACGCUGUAAACGAUGAUUACUCGAUGUUGGCGAUAAACUGUCAGCGUCUUAGCGAAAGCGUUAAGUAAUCCACCUGGGGAGUACGCCCGCAAGGGUGAAACUCAAAGGAAUUGACGGGGGCCCGCACAAGCGGUGGAGCAUGUGGUUUAAUUCGAUGAUACGCGAGGAACCUUACCUAGGCUAGAAUGCGCGUGACCGGUCCAGAGAUGGACCUUUCCUUCGGGACACAAAGCAAGGUGCUGCAUGGUUGUCGUCAACU
rnacentral:rRNA from 1 species